GUCGUGCGCGAAGGGUCCUUCGGGGCCUGAGUAGAGCGGCGAACUGGUGAGUACAAGGUGAAUAACGUGCCCUUGAGUGGGGGAUAACCCCGCGAAAGCGGGGCUAAUACCGCAUGGUUUCCUGGGAUCUUCGGGUUUUGGGAAUAAAGCAGUGAUGCGCUUAAGGAGCGGUUCACCUCCCAUUAGCUAGUUGGUAGGGUAAUGGCCUACCAAGGCUUCGAUGGGUAGCUGGUCUGAGAGGAUGGUCAGCCACACUGGGACUGAGAUACGGCCCAGACUCCUACGGGGGGCAGCAGUCUAGAGGCUUUGACAAUGCCCGAAAGGGUGAUCAAGCGACGCCGCGUGCGGGAUGAAGGGCUUCGGCUUGUAAACCGCUUUUCUUUGGGGCGAAGGCCCGUGUCGUGAACAUGGGAUUGACGGUACCAGAGGAAUAAGCCCCGGCUAACUCCGUGCCAGCAGCCGCGGUAAGACGGAGGGGGCGAGCGUUGUUCGGAAUUAUUGGGCGUAAAGGGCUCGUAGGCGGACGGGUAAGUCUGGCGUGAAAUCUCCACCGCUCACCGGGGAGAGGCCGCUGGAUACUGCCUGUCUGGAG
rnacentral:rRNA from 1 species